rnacentral:misc_RNA from 1 species
CCAUCUCAAGGUCAAACUUGGUAUUGAGCUCGCGCAUUUCAUUAUGCCUGGCUUUAAAUUGGCACGCUUGCGGUCCCUGGAUCGAUCUAAGCUCAUAAAAUUGCGCUGUUUGGUUUUGAUCUUUUGUGGACUUGCCACAAAUAUUUUUUGAAA